rnacentral:misc_RNA from 1 species
GAUGAAGAACGCAGCGAAACGCGAUAAGUAAUGUGAAUUGCAGAAUCCAGUGAAUCAUCGAAUCUUUGAACGCACAUUGCGCCCGCCAGCAUUCUGGCGGGCAUGCCUGUUCGAGCGUCAUUUCAACCCUCGACCUCCCCUUGGGGAGGUCGGCGUUGGGGACCGGCAGCACACCGCCGGCCCUGAAAUGGAGUGGCGGCCCGUCCGCGGCGACCUCUGCGCAGUAAUACAGCUCGCACCGGGACCCCGACGCGGCCACGCCGUAAAACACGCAACUUCUGAACGUUGACCUCGAAUCAGGUAGGACUACCCGCUGAACUUAAGCAUAUCAAUAAGCGGAGGA